rnacentral:misc_RNA from 1 species
UCUCCGUAGGUGAACCUGCGGAGGGAUCAUUACAGAGUUCAUGCCCUACCGGGUAGAUCUCCCACCCUAUGUUAUUAUUACUUUGUUGCUUUGGCGGGCCGUUAGGCUCCGGCCCGACUACCGGCCCCGGCUGGUAAGCGCCCGCCAGAGGACCCAAAACCCUGAAUAUUAGUGUCGUCUGAGUACUAUAUAAUAGUUAAAACUAUCAACAACGGAUCUCUUGGUUCUG